UACACACGUGCUACAAUGGUUGGUACAACGAGUUGCGAGUCGGUGACGGCGAGCUAAUCUCUUAAAGCCAAUCUCAGUUCGGAUUGUAGGCUGCAACUCGCCUACAUGAAGUCGGUAUCGCUAGUAAUCGCGGAUCAGCACGCCGCGGUGAAUACGUUCCCGGGCCUU
rnacentral:rRNA from 1 species